rnacentral:rRNA from 1 species
CAUGUAGAGAGUUUGAUUCUAGCUCAGGAUGAACGCUGGCGGCGUGGAUAAGGCAUGCAAGUCGCGCGAUCUGGCUUUUGCCAGGUAGCGGCAAACGAGUUAGUAACACGUGGAUACGCACCCUGAAGACGGGCAUAAUCCGCCGAAAGGCGGACUAAUUCCCGAUAGUUCCCGUAAGGGUAAAGGAGCAAUUCGCUUCAGGAGCGGUCCGCGGCCUAUCAGCUUGUUGGUGGGGUAAUAGCCCACCAAGGCGAUGACGGGUAGGGGAGGUGAGAGCCUGUUCCCCAACGCGGGUACUGAGACACGGACCUGACACCUACGGGUGGCCGCAGUCGAGAAUAUUGGACAAUGGGGGAAACCCUGAUCCAGCGACGCCGCGUGCGGGAUGAAGGCCUUCGGGUUGUAAACCGCUUUUAUAGAGGAAGAACCCCGCCCCAAUUUUGCGUCUGAAUAAAAAGCGAAGCGCGAGUUGCGAAUAGCAACACCCCUUUCAUGGGCGCAGCGCUUCGCCCCAGACAGGAUGCACCUAUUCGGUGCACGCACUGCGCUGGUAAUUCGGAGGCAAAAUUGGAGUGGGGUGACGGUACUCUACGAAUAAGGGGGUGCUAACUCUGUGCCAGCAGCCGCGGUAAAACAGAGCCCCCGAGCGUUAUCCGGAUUUAUUGGGCGUAAAGCGUCUGUAGCCGGUCUGGAAAGUCUUUUGUUAAAUACCAAGGGCUCAACCUUUGGAAUGCAAAGGAAACUUCCAGACUCGAGGAUGUUAGGGGUUGAUGGAACUCUUGGUGGAGGGGUGGAAUCCGUUGAUAUCAAGAGGAACACCAAAAGCGAAGGCAUUCAACUGGAACAGUCCUGACGGUGAGAGACGAAAGCGUGGGGAGCAAAAAGGAUUAGAUACCCUUGUAGUCCACGCUGUAAACGAUGGAUACUAGCUAUGUGAAGUGUCGACCCUUCACGUGGCGAAGCUAAC